rnacentral:rRNA from 1 species
ACAGUGGAUGCGAGCAUCUUUGUGGCAAGUUAUUAAGGGCACACGGUGGAUGCCUUGGCACCAG